UGGUUGCUCACCAGCAGUCUUCUCCAUACCUUGCGUCAUGGAUAAGGCCCAGAAGUUCCUGCAUGCAUUUAAAGGGGUCUUUGACCGCAGCUGUUUGAGAUCCGUGGUUUGCCAUCAGGCACCAUAAGAAGGGAUGAAGUGACUUUCACAGCAGAGGAUAAGGGUGGAUCACCGACACCCAGAGAGGUCUAUAGAGUCAGUGAGAGCUGAGAUGAGGCCAGCCCAGCCAAAGAACACCAUUGUUCCUGACCAAGCUGAGAGAGACUAGACCACAGGUUAAACCAGCUGCCAAUGUCAACUGCAGAGGCCAGCCAGGUGGGCAGCAACAGGACCGCCAAGGAGCACCACAAAAAACAGAGGACACGACAUAGCUCUGAGGACCCACCACUCCACUGCCUUAAGCCCACAACCAUAAGUUCCGUGAGGUUGAGGACCACUUCUGUGUUAUUCAUCAGUUUAUCCUCAGCACCCAGUACAAUGCCCCGCCCAAAGUAAAGCUCCAUUCCUAUUUGUUGAACAGAAGAGUAAAUGAAUGUUUGACUCCUACACAGCCCAAUACAAGCAUCACCUCGCUGCAGAAGCUUUUCCUGACCCCUCCCAGCUAAAUUGGGCUUCCUGGUAUGGUACUCAUCACGGUGUAUUGUGGACAUUGAUUUUUCUCAUAUUUUUCCCCAUCCCCAGGCCAGUUGAUUAUUAAGACAAAGGAUUGUGUUUAUUCUUUGUGCUGACCACAGUGCCUGGCCCCCAUGGCAAGGGGUCCAUACAUGUCUAUUGGAUUAAUGAAAAUUGAAUACAUGAAAACUACCAGGUUCCGUGACAGCUCACAGCUCCAGCUACAAUCGCCUCCAGGAGGACAGAGCUUCAUUCCCCCUUGUAACCCUGCUCCAGCAUAGUGCCGGGCACAGAGAAGCAGCGGCUGUUCUUGACAGUCUUUGGAUAAUUCCAUAUUCAUUCGUUCGUUCGUUCUCUCGCUCACUCGUCUAUCCGUGUAUCUGUUCCCAGAGGCCCAGACUAAAUGGCAUAAACUUCAGCACUCUUUCCUGAAAGAUCCCAAAGCAACUCUUCAGCUUAUUGGCGAGAGGGACUGUCAGCCUCUUAAUACAGAAGAGGACCUGGGGCCCAAGAAAUGGGAGAGGACGUGACCUACAGAAUCAGGAACGAGGGAAGCUCUUAGGCUCCCAUGUGCCCCCUGCUAACCUGGGUCCACAGGAGUCCUUCCACCCUGGCCAGUGACCUCCUCAAAGCCACCGGGAGUCGACUACACGGUGCCGCUCUCUUCCGCUUCUCUCCCCCUCUGACGCGCCCCCC